rnacentral:lncRNA from 1 species
CUCUGACACUGCAGCAACAGAAUAACUAAGAAUCUGGGGUACUUCAUGGCCUUAAGGCAUCACAACACAAAGACUUGAAGAGGCCUAAAAGAGGGUUUUCCUCUGUUUGUCAUGCUAUUCAUCUGACUGAGAAACACUGAAAAAUUGGAAUGUGUUAGCAGAACAAGCUAGAAGAAUACAAAUCAUUCUCUUUCUGCCCCUCUGUGGGAAUAACUUUGGUGCCUGGGGCAGCAGAAGACUCCUACGGAGAUAGAUCUGUGUGAAGUUCUGUCUGUUCCCUGUUUCCUUCUGUCAUUGCCUUCUGCCUCCGCCUCUGUUUUUUCUUCCUUUGUAAAGGCCGUUCAAGGAGGACAGAUGACUCAUUGGUUAGGACACACUGGACCUCUGUCCAGAUUAUUGGUGUUCAUUUCCUAGAUUUGCUAU